AUUGAACGCUGGCGGCAGGCCUAACACAUGCAAGUCGAACGGUAACAGGAAGAAGCUUGCUUCUUUGCUGACGAGUGGCGGACGGGUGAGUAAUGUCUGGGAAACUGCCUGAUGGAGGGGGAUAACUACCGGAAACGGUAGCUAAUACCGCAUAACGUCGCAAGACCAAAGAGGGGGACCUUCGGGCCUCUUGCCAUCGGAUGUGCCCAGAUGGGAUUAGCUAGUAGGUGGGGUAACGGCUCACCUAGGCGACGAUCCCUAGCUGGUCUGAGAGGAUGACCAGCCACACGGGAACUGAGACACGGUCCAGACUCCUACGGGAGGCAGCAGUGGGGAAUAUUGCACAAUGGGCGCAAGCCUGAUGCAGCCAUGCCGCGUGUAUGAAGAAGGCCUUCGGGUUGUAAAGUACUUUCAGCGGGGAGGAAGGGAGUAAAGUUAAUACCUUGGCUCAUUGACGUUACUCGCAGAAGAAGCACCGGCUAACUCCGUG
rnacentral:rRNA from 1 species